CUCCACUUCAUAAUUGGAAAGGCUAGCUAACCUAUUAAUGUGAUGAUUGAUCGGGACACAAACAUUUUCUUUAGCAAUUGAAGCUACAUUACCAGUAACUCGCAAUCAACAUAAGAGAUACCUAUCCAAAACAUUGCUAUUUCCAUUCCUGUUUAUGCUAUACUUUUGUAUGGCUUGUUUAGUUAAUGCCAUGGUACAUUUCCUCCCCAUAUUUGGAGCUAGCAGAAACAAGAAUGGAAAUAGCAAAGCCAUAAUUACAUGAUUAAAGAAUGUGACAGUAGGGAUUUCAGGUGCUUCUUAGAAAUUAUAUUUUUGUAGAAAACACGAAAAUAAUAACGAUAGUGGUAGUAACGAUGACAGGCGUAAUCACGGGCACUGUGGAUUUUUCCCAGGGCCUCCAUAGUAAAAAUAUGUGCCCCAUUCAUUGUUGUUGGAGCUUUUGAUAUUGUAGCAAUUUGUGUUCUCGGCUAGUAUAGAGAUAGCUUGGGCUGAGCUGAGGCUGUUGUCGGAGUCAACAAUCUCCAAGUUCCGAAAAUAGCUUGCUUUUCCGAAUCCAUCUUCGGCAAAGUGGCCUGAGCCCAUCUGGGUUGAGGUGUGCUGACCAUUGGCCCUUGAAUUUACCACUUCACCACCCCACUCCACCAUGGUGGCAUGGUCUGCUAGGUGUGUAAAUAGCUCUGCUGGCCAAUACCCUACUAGGGUAUUGUCACUAAAUCCCAUCCACCAAUUCCCCAGUUUUGGAUCCUUCCAAAUGAGGAUGGUAAUGUCAUAUUGGCUGCCUGCAUAUGAUGAUACAGGAGAAAUGGCAGCUCCAAUGGCUAUUCUGCUAUUGCUUUGAACAAACCCUGCGCAGAGAAGGUUGUAACAUCCGGUUGCCUGGUAUGAAUCACUCUGCAAAAAUAAAACCAACAAAGAAAGUGAAUACCCAACUUCAGCCCAAUUCAUAAAUAGGUCUCCUCUCAUUUUAUUAAAUAGGAUUUGAAUCUUAAUUAAAUCAUGAAAGAUUUUUGUUUUUCAUUUUCUUUUGAGCUUGUAUAUAAUUAUUAUAAUGAUGUAUGCCUAAACUUUUGUUACAAUUGUUAUGGUACGUAUAAAUACAGCAAUUUGCAAGCAAAACAAUGAAAUUAUGGCACAGUCCCCACAACACCCACCACAUUAAUCAUGAUAUUAAUCACAGCACUGUCAAAAGGACUGGUUUUGGGAAACCCAUGCUUUCAAAACAAUAGAAUGAUCAAAUUCAAGUCCAUACUGAAUCAUAAAUGACCAUUUAUCCAUAGGACAUAAAAUCCUCAAGCCCAUGCUUUAGAAGCUGGCCUUAGCAAAGCUGUCUAAAAUCCUAAAAUUGACCUGUAGGAGUUGGGAAUCAUUCUUGGUAUGGCACUGAAUUUUACUACUCAAAAGCUAUGAAAAGUGCAUUGCAAGACUUGGUUUAGGGCCACAAAAGGGUAGUUGUUGAAUUUAAUUUUUGAGCAAUUUAUUGUAGGCCAAAUGGUCAGGACAUUGCCCUCUCAACUAUCAGCCUAUGCCCCAAGUGUUAAGAAUCAUCCAUUAUGAAAUGCCCUAGCCCUACAAGAUUAGGGAAAUGAUAAUAGGAAUAGGUCUAAAUAAUUAUAAUGAAGGCAUUAAUUUAAUAACAGUCUACAUAAUUAAGAGGAAUCUUACUGUCCAGUAUGUGAACAAUCUGGGCCUGCUGUCACCGUAAAGCUCCGGACUGACCUGACUAGUAGAAUAAUCACAACUUCAGAAAUUCCCCAGUAAUUAAAUUUAUUAAUUAUAAAAUAUUGAUUCAUUUAUUCCAAGAAAUUAUGUAUUAAUUUCCAAUUUCAGAUCUUGGAAGAAUCCAUUAGUUUCAAAGUUCUACAGUUCUAAAAAAUAGUAUUAUUCAAUUUUGGAUUAUGUGCAUGCGAGGACAGGAAAUGGAAGAAGUACCUGCCAUCCAGCUUCGAUGCUGUUGAGAUCUGAGCCGUCGAAUGAUCCCGAAAGAACCCAAAUUUGCGAUAAGCUGAACUCGUUGACCACUUGGAUGGAUGGAUCCCACACGUUUACAGUUGCCUUUGCUCCGUACACUUCUUGUGAUGAUCCAGUGUAGGCGAUCGCAUGCUGCGAAUGUGAAGAUCGCCUCAGAAAACUCGUAUUUAUUGAUGGAAAAAAAAAAAAAAAUCAAAGAACGAACGGUCAAAGGUAGAAAAUAAAAGUAAAAGGAGUUUCGAGAAUUGCAGUGGGACCCUUAUUGGAAAGAUAAAGAUCGUGCGGCUAGGAUUUUGUUUGAGUUUAGGAGAAUUUGACUUUGUAACGAAAUGAAUGCAAAGGCAAUUAAUAGAAUGGAUUCGUUCGGUUGCAAUUUGCAAAGAAAAGGAAGAUGAUUGAAAUUAAUGCAUGUGAAUGAAUUCAUUUCUUUGCGGUUUCCUCAUUAAUUAAUUCAUUUUUUUUAAAAAAAAAAUCAUUUUUUCAAUUUUAAAUGAGAAAAGGGUGCAUAUUUUUAAAUUUUUAUAUUAAAAUUUAUAUAUAAUUUGAAUUAAAAUAUAUAUAAUUAAAUUAAAAAUUAUUAAAACGUAAGAUUGAGCUUAUAAUGUAAGAAGAAGAAAAGAUAGAAUACCUCGUGUCCAUUGCCACUAACUACAGCGGGUGGAUCGGAGCGUCGAAAAAGAGAGGUAGACGGCGGCUUCUUCCCAAAGUCAAACAAUGACUUGGCUCUUAAAACAUCAUGGACUGUGCUCCGCCGUAUUGGAACAGUUCCCUUAGGGCACCUUGUCCCAUUUCUAUGCCACAUUUGCCAUGCACCUUUAUCCGUUGCUUCGUUGCUCCUCAUCUCCAUUUCUUCUUCCUUUAUCUUUUUCACUUUUGGCAUUUGUGAUGGCACUCUCUGAAUCUUGUGAUUCUUUAAUAGAGGGUGAUCUAGAGCUGGCUGUUUUCUUUUAUGAACACAAUCUAUGAUAUCUCCAUCUGAGCUCUCUAUGGUCAUAACAGCAGGCUUGUUAAUCUUGUCCAAAUGCCUUUGAAUCCUUUUAAGUCUCAAGCUACUCACUUGCCUAUAAUUUGUGUAAUUUAGACCAGAAAUGAAAGUAAAUUUUUCUAGGAAAAGAAGGGCAAGAAUAAGAGGAAGAAGAAGAACAGGAAAUCUUCUCUUCCUUUCUACAAAACCCAUUUCUCAUUCAGUCUCAAGAAAAAGAAAGAAACUGAGAAAACUAACACAUCAUUGUUAGCAAGAAAAAACAAAAGCAAAGGAAAGAAAGAAAGAAAACAAAAGAGCAGAAGAGCAAAUCUGAAAUUUUCUUGAUAUCACUUGCACCAAACACCCAUACACGCAAGAAAAGGUAAAAGAAAGGGACUUGU
rnacentral:misc_RNA from 1 species